UACGAAGGGGGCUAGCGUUGUUCGGAUUAACUGGGCGUAAAGGGUGCGUAGGCGGGUUUUUAAGUCAGGGGUGAAAUCCCGAGGCUCAACCUCGGAACUGCCUUUGAUACUGGAAAUCUUGAGUCUGGGAGAGGUGAGUGGAACUGCGAGUGUAGAGGUGAAAUUCGUAGAUAUUCGCAAGAACACCAGUGGCGAAGGCGAGUCCCUGGACACUUCCUGACACUGAGGCACGAAAGCUAGGGGAGCAAACAGG
rnacentral:rRNA from 1 species